GUGUAUGUGUGUGCGUGGCCCUGCAUGCAGCAAAAGGCCAGGAGGCCCGAGCCCCUCCCUGAGGAAGCUCGGACAGAGGAUCUGUGCAAAUGUGCUUCCUCUUCCUUUCACUCCCCAGCCCUAAGGUCAAAGGAUCUGGAAAAUCCUCCUCCACCCUGUGACUUGAUCUGACGAUUGUAAGAGAACCUCGGUUCCCCCCCCCGUGCCUUCCGCUCCCCACCCUUCCCUCUUGCAGCCCGGUAACCCUUUAAAGCCUUCUCCAGAUUGAUGCCUGUCAGUCCUGGCCUCUGAGGAUGGACACGGCCGUGUGGGUGCUUGUGUUUUUACAAGCUGAGCAGCCCUGGGUUUCCCAGAAAGGAUAUCCCAGCAGGAAGGAGAAAGGUGGAGCACAAUCCCUGUAGCAUUUCUUGUUCUGCAUUGUACAAAACUUCGUAGGGACACAGGAAGAGGAUACGGAAGUUUCUACAGGAAAACGGAGAAAAGUUCAAACGUAAACAGCAUCCAAAAAAUUUACCAUCAGCUUAUAAUGUUUCCUUUUAAAAUGUUUAAAGACACUCAUGUUACAGCAUAGUUUACUACACAUUAUUAUGUGUAUGUAGUUUUGCAAUUUCUCUAGCAAUAACAUCUCAAAGCCAUUUUUAUCAUGAAUUAUGCAAGCUAUAUUACAUGGAGCAAUGUAAGAAAUCA